GGGGCCGAACUGGACUCGACCGGGCAGUUGAGGCUUGUCGUGGCGCGUCGUGGAGCAUCCCUGCCACGUAAAAAGGAUGCACACUUAUAUUUGCCGACACUGAGUUGGCUCUCGCUGCGUAAUUCGCAGUGGCGAUCCCGGACCUGACGCCCGAUAGGGCUCGGGGUCGACGACCAUCGGGCUGGUUCCACGGGGCUGACAGACCCCCAGGGGACGAGACAACAGUCUGUCAUGGCAAGGCAAAACGCCGUCGCUCGCGGUUUGCCGAGCCGAGAUCAAAGGAGCGACUACGCGCGUAGAUGCGGCCUGCUGGCUGCUCCGGCACGGGGGUUCGAUUCCCCCCGGCUCCACUU
rnacentral:tmRNA from 1 species